AACACUAGAUUUCCUAAACUUUAAUUUAAUCUAAAAACAUUAAAAUAAUCCCCCACUUGUCUCCAUCUCCAACUUUCAUUUAUAGCACCGCCCCACCUCUAUCUCUCUCUCUACACCGCCAAGAUGGAUCCACCGCCACCUUCCGCCGCCGCAGGACCACCGUAUAAACUUCGACUAAUGUGCAGCUACGGAGGCCAGAUAAUCCCACGUCCAAACAGCUCAACAAAAUCAUUAUGCUACGCAGGUGGUGACACCCGCAUCAUCACCAUCCCCACCGCCAUAGCUGCAAAUCUUACACUAACUUCUCUCGCCACCCACUUAUCUACGGCUCUCAAUAUCAAUAACUCGUUCACUUUGAAGUACCAGCUUCCGAGUCAUGAUCUUGACUCACUUAUCUCCGUUUCGAAUGAUGAUGAUCUUCUUAUUAUGCUUGAUGAGCACCACCGUCUAUCUCCUACUCCUGCUCGUAUAAGACUGUUCCUCUUCCCGACCAAACCGGUUGCAGAGUUUAAUGAGUUGAAGCAUCCGAAGACUGAGACUUGGUUUGCUGAUGUGUUGAAAAGUGCUAAGAUUAUGCAGAAGGGAGGUGGAGGUGGGGUUGGUUUGGAAGGAAAUAGUAGCGAGGGUAGUGAUAAUAAUAGUAAUAAUGAAGUUGGUUAUGGUCUUUGUGGAGCUGAGUCUAUGGUUUUAGAGACGAGUUCUUCUUUUGGGUCUUCUUCUUCUUCUGUUUCUUUGACUAAUUUGCCUGCUAAAGGUGCUCAUGUUGAGGAGUUUGGUGCUGGUUUGUUGGAUAAUAAGGUUAAAUUGCCUGCUUCUGAAUCAUUUGCUACAAGUGAUAAUGGUAUGGGUGUGACUAUCGCUAUUCCUCAUACACCGCCCGGAAUGACUUAUCAAGAACCAGUCCCUCUAGUUCCUGCAAUGGAGAACAAUAACUAUUACCCUGUAGAAUUAGAGAGUAAAACGAUUAAUCCUUCUAUUGGUGUUGAGAUGCACAAGCCACUUCAUGUUUCUGGAUUUCCAUUGUCUCUACAGUUUGAUCAACCGCAGAUACAGUUUGUUCAUACUGCUGAUCCAUAUAAUUUGCCACAUAACCCAGCUGGCAUGAUGCCGGUACCUUCUUACUAUGUAAUGACCUCUCCAAUGCCUCAGCAGCAGACAUAUUAUCAGACCAGUCAGCCAGCCCCAAUAUAUUUCAUGCCUGUUGGGCAUCCUUACAAUAUGCCUAUGCAAAGUGGUUUGGUCAACCCUAUGACUGUUGCUUCUAACUGUCCGCCCGCUCAUCCUAUUCCCUUGCCAAAUUCUGCCCAAGUGGGUUACAAGGUUGCAGCUGCUUCGCCGAUGCCUGAGGCAGCCUCACAGAUUUACAGAACACCCCCGAUGCCAAGUUCACUUGUUAAUGUUCCACGUAACGAGAGUCAUCUACAGGAUCGAGCUCUUCCACAAGUAAAUCAGCAAGCACAGUCCAUUGAUGUUACUUCCACAGAAACUGCAAAUUACACUAAUGAACUUGAUGAGGACCCUUUGCGUAUCCAAAUAUAUAAGUCUCAGCCUCCACCUCCUAAAUUGGCUCCUCAGUGCACAACCGUGCCUAAAGCCACAGCAGUCAUGUUAUCAGAGGCUUUAGCACAGUUGCAUACAGAAAAGACUAAGCUACAGAUAUAGAACUACUCGGCUACGAUAAGCACAUACUAAAUUGAACAAUUUUGGAAAGGAGAGUUUCUGCUGGUGGUCUCUUAUCAGGGUUCAAAUGAACGCAAGCUAAAGCAAUCUUGAGUACUGCAACCAUUUCUUCUUUCUUAUCUGUGUCAUAAACUAAGAAGGGGUCUAUUACAUCAGACAGUGGCUUCACUUCAGUACUCAGUUGUAUCCAUUGCACAAGUCCCAUUUCCGAAGAACUUGUCUGUAUAACCGGAGACUUUCCAGAAAUCAUCUCAAGUAAAAUCACUCCGAAUGAAUAAACAUCCCACUUUUGUGACGGUUUGGAGGAUUGCGAAACUUCAGGAGCUUCAUAGUAGGACAUUACAGCACUUGAAUUUAUUGGUGUGAAUGCAAAUGGCGAUCCCUGUAAUGGCGUUCCAUUUGUUGUUUGUUCUGAAGAAACUGAUGCUGAUUCUUCUGUUGUGUUUGCUAGACGGCCAAGCCCAAAAUCAGAGAUACAUGGCUCCAAGUUUUCUCCAAGAAGAAUAUUGCUAGGCUUUAAGUUUCCGUGUACAUAUCUUUUGGGGGUGAAUUCGUGUAGGAAAGUUAAUCCUUUCGCUACUCCUCGCAUGAUUUUAAGACGAAUGGACCAAGAAAGAGGCUUAAAAUAUAUCAUUCCUGUUCUUCCUGGUCAGAAUGUAUCAGAAACUGUGAUCCUUGAAAUCAAAACAUAUAAAAGAUAUAACUUAGUAGUAUUCGAAAA